AAAGACUUGAGAGAGAGAACCAAGGAAACCCAAGAAGCUUUCCUCCUUCCCAUGGUAACCUUUCUUCUUUUCUUCUUGAUUUCCUUUCGUCACUAAGACUUCUAAGAGCUCACCCUUAAGCUCUUCCUUUCCUUAAAUUUCCAGAAAUCCUUCCAAAAAUCUACGGGUUGCCAAGCAAUCUUCCUUCUCCUUCAAAUCCGCAAGCAACUUCAUUUUAGGAACCCGAAAGCUUGAAAGUUUAGGUAAGGGUCUUGGUAUUUUCACGUACUCUCCUAUUGUGUUUACUAGACUUUGAAAAUAUUUAAAAGGUAAUUAAAUUCAUGAUUGUUUGACUU
rnacentral:lncRNA from 1 species